rnacentral:misc_RNA from 1 species
AUGAAUUUCAAGUCGGUUGAUUGUGCUGGCGGCAACGCACGUGCACGUCGAUUGCAAACCCAAUCCACACACCUGUGAACGUACGGCCUCGGAGUUUACUCUCGGGGCACACCAUUUUUACCUACUCUGUAAUAGAAUGUGACCUGUGCCAAAAGCGCAAAAACUUAA